rnacentral:rRNA from 1 species
AUUGAACGCUGGCGGCAGGCCUAACACAUGCAAUUCGAACGAGUGGCGGACGGGUGCGUAAUGUCUGGGAAACUGCCCGAUGGAGGGGGCUAACUACUGGAAACGGUAGCUAAUACCGCAUACCAUCGGAUGUGCCCAGAUUGGAUUAGCUAGUAGGUGGUGUAACGGCUCACCUAGGCGACGAUCCCUAGCUGGUCUGAGAGGAUGACCAGCCACAAUGGAACUGAGCCACGGUCCAGACUCCUACGGGAGGCAGCAGUGGGGAAUAUUGCACAAUGGGCGCAAGCCUGAUGCCGCCAUGCCGCGUGUAUGAAGAAGGCCUUCGGGUUGUAAAGUACUUUCAGCGAGGAGGCGUUACUCGCAGAAGAAGCACCGGCUAACUCCGUGCCAGCAGCCGCGGUAAUAC